AUUGAACGCUGGCGGCAUGCUUUACACAUGCAAGUCGAACGGCAGCACGGGCUUCGGCCUGGUGGCGAGUGGCGAACGGGUGAGUAAUAUAUCGGAACGUACCCUGGAGUGGGGGAUAACGUAGCGAAAGUUACGCUAAUACCGCAUACGAUCUACGGAUGAAAGUGGGGGAUCGCAAGACCUCAUGCUCCUGGAGCGGCCGAUAUCUGAUUAGCUAGUUGGGAGGUAAAGGCUCACCAAGGCGACGAUCAGUAGCUGGUCUGAGAGGACGACCAGCCACACUGGAACUGAGGCACGGUCCAGACUCCUACGGGAGGCAGCAGGUGGGGAAUUUUGGACAAUGGGGGCAACCCUGAUCCAGCAAUGCCGCGUGA
rnacentral:rRNA from 1 species